CAAGCUGAGGUCAUCUCUGGUUACUCUGAGGAUGUGCGUAAAGAGUUGAAGCUGAGAAGGUCAUGACUCUGAGAAUACGGGCAAGAUGUGAAUUCAGAAGACUGAACCUUCUCUCCAUUGUAAUUUGGUGCCUCGUUGAGGGAGGCCACGUCAAAAGUCUGUUGUGGCCAGAAUCUUCAUGAACACCAUGCUUGACCUUAGGCUAUGUCGUAGUGUUGAGAUGAAGAUGGAAAAAUCCCAGGACCACUUGCAAAAAUGAUCUGCAGCUCAAGCAAACCUUUCCAUACCAUGGCUGCACAGCAAGCAUGCUGUUACAAUUCGCAUCCCGGCUCGCCCAACUGUGUUUACAUCUCUUCCUGGUGCCGGAGCCAGAGCCUGGGGUUCCUUUUGAAACAAUUCUGAAAAUACCUUGGGUUUGUGUUCCUCUGGGCUCUGCAAUAACAAACCUGUUCUGC
rnacentral:lncRNA from 1 species